GCGCGAGCUAGUUUACUGAAGGGCGCGAAAAUUUCUCUCAGGCGCUGCCUGCUCGACAAAUUCAACACGACUGGAACAGGAGUGAAAAGUUUCACCGUGUCUUCCAUUAACACUUGUGAUGUGAUUCUCUCUUUGACCUCCUCCACACACUUCUUAAUGAAGGCAAGCCCACAAGCUGUGUGGUGUCUAUAUCGAAAAAGAGGCAGUCGAAUGUGAGUUUCAUGUGUCUAUUGGGUUUUUCUAUCACACAAAGGCAGACAUCAGUUAGAUAGAUGCUCUGAACAUGAAGGAGCUGCCUCUUUUUACCCCAUAUUCCAAAUUUCAGUCAUCUCAAAAUGACCUUGAUGAACAAGACUCUUCUUUCAUAAUUACAGCUCAGCAUUCAGGGAAGGAACUGUUGCAAAUGAGAUGGGCCUUGCUGUGUUGGGUGACUGAUGCACUCCUGUGUCCAGGUGAGCCCAAAUCCCUGACAAGAGCCACCGUUUCACCCCCAUCUGCUCUAGUCGCCGCUCUUGCCGCACUUCUUUGAUGUGAGCCAUCUUCGCUUGUGCGACUAUACCUUAUCCUGUUUCCCAAUGAUCAGAUAGAACCGCCUGUAAUUAGCUGGGCGACUUUAAUUAGGAAAAAGUUAACUGUUACAUGAAAGCUGCCACAUCUGUGAUCCUACUGCUGCCUUGGCGUCAGGCUCCCAGGGGGUCCCAUCAAAGGGCUCCCUCCCGCUGCGCAGCCCCACUCUAGCAUGCUCUCCUCUGCCAAAUCAGGCCUGCAGAUGCCAAGUGACAGAGCCGAGCGGAGAUGUAGACAUGAGUUAACUGUGCAAAACAAAAACAGAAAAGAAAAAAAAUAGAAGGACGGAACGCAUCACUUCGGUCUUUCUUGUCUCUCGUUAGGCGAGGAACACGAGGCUGACACAAAAGGAUCUGAGGCCAAACAAUGUCACUUAACAAGACAUCACUGGCUCAUCAUUAGCAAUUUACCAGGGCAUAAUUUGUUCCUCCCCACACAUAAUAGGUAUCUUGGGAUCUUGUGAACGGCCUUCUGCUUGUUUCGCUGUUUAUUUUUCUUGGCCCGAGCCUCAGAAGCAAACUUGCCACCUAUGGCGAUGAGCAGGACGUUGCUUUUGUGAUUUCGUUUCACAGUUCCAGUAAGUAAGACCUCCUUUAAUUAACUCCCAGGCUCAUCCUCUUUCAUUUAGGUAUCUAUUUAUCUGUUUUACUUGAGACAAUAAGCGACCGUCAGGCAUGUCACUUUAAAAGUGCAAAAUGCUCGCAGAAGGAAGAUUAAAAGCACUGAAAACACUAUGAUGGAUGGCAUUUUUAUUUUUGGAACCUAUUACCCCUUGGGUGGAAUUACAGAGGCUGGGAGAUGCUGCAUGACCCUUUUCUUUUGCUUUCCAUCCCUCUGCCCUCGUCUCCCUGUCUCCCAGCCAUAUUCAAGAACAGCUGCAUUCUGCUAUAGUCGUGGCAAAUAUGCUUAAAUGGCUUGACGUGUAUCACUGCCAUUAAUCAGAAAGAGAAAGGCUUUUAAUGUCAUUGUGCUUGCAUCCUGUGUUCCCCACAGAUGGUACAGACAGAGCUCUAGAAACCAGCUCGCGCUCUGUCUGCCUGUCCCAUCGCUUCCUAUUCUGUGGGCCUUUUGUCAUCAACAGACAUUGAGCUGCCAUUUAUAUUCAACGGACACGUGCGCUGGGGAAAAAGCCAUGCCAGCUCAUAACAACAAUAAGAUGAUGUGAAGACUCAGAUACAUCACACGUCUUGACAAGUGCGCUUCAGAUGUCAAUCACUCGGAGAGGAGCUCAGGGUUUUACUCCUUACUUGCUAUUAGCAGUACUUAGCAUGCUAAUUAAGACUUGCG